GAAAUUCCUAUCUAUUUAUCUUGAUAACAUCAUAAUAUUUUGUUUAUUUCAGAUAAAGAAACAAUGUCACUAUUUGUAACUGAUAUGUAAUUUUUACCAACAAGGAAGUGGAGGUUGAAUACAGAGAAUGCAGGAAUUGGAUGAGGAAUUGGAUGGCAAACUCGAAAAAAUCCAGAAAGAUCUUGAAAAAACAAAGAUGCUUAUGAGAGAUAAGCUAGCAAGGUUACAGAAAGGAGUGGAAGGAGUGAACAAAAUAAGUUCUAGCGAGAAGUCCGGGGAAAAAGUUCCACUUUAUAUUGUCUUUCAACAGACUCAAAAGAAAAAAGGUUGCUGCUGCGUCAUAUCAUAACAGAGGGCAUCUCGUGCAUAAUAGAUGUUGAUUAUUUGAAAUAAAUGGCGGGAAAUUAUUCAGUCUCAAGAUGUGAAACUUCACAGGCGAGUUGGUUACACUCACAGGCACAAUGGCUAUUCAAGAUCCUUUAUAAACAGUGAUAGCGAUUACUAUAAUCCAUGCAGGAACUUUUUUCUGGAAAAUGCACCGAACUUAAAUAUGUUACAAAUGAGAAGAUUCUUGUUAUAAUUACAUAUGCUAUUCUAUGCAAAAUGUUAUGUGUUGAGAGUGUUUUUUCAACUUUCUAACGUUGGACACAUUCAAAAUCAUAAUAAUAUUAAAAAAUCGUGACAGUAAUUGGCUAUCAUUAAAAGAAGGGGACAUUCGAUAAUGCGUAUUUGGCGUUUUCCCCUAAUAUCUGUUUUCAGUUCCUUGGACCAUUAUUUGCUUAAUUCAAUAUUUAUAAAAACUUAUUUUGGUAGAAAUCAAGCGCUAUAUACUUAAUUACUUCAAAAGCUCCAUUGUAUAAACUAUACAUUUGGCAUUGUAUUUACAAUUUUAUCAACUGAAAAAAAAACAACAACAAAAAAAAAAAAAAAAAAAAAAAACAACUAAAAAGAAGAAGAAAAAAACAAUGCAGGAGUAGUAGAUUUAAAAAAAGUAUAUAGUUUUAUGAUAUACAUGUAAGUUUGGCAUAGACACAAUAAUAAGUGUUUAUAUUAUAUUUCUAUAUAUAAUCACAGUUUAAAGGGACUCCACUGAGAUAUUUUGACAUGACGGGACUUGCUUUUAUAAAUAAAUGUAAUGAUUUAUUUGAUGUGGGUCUUGGCCAAUAAAUGGUGUGCAAACUUUCAUAUCGUUUACUCACUCCUCCGUUUUUCUAGAAUAAUCAUUAUACUUGUGUAAAAUGACACAAAAUUGAAAAACGUUGCAACGCUUUUCACUCAAAUCGGGCUCAAUAAAUAUUUUUUAAACUUAUUCUCAGGAAUAUUUUUGUGACCUUAUCUGUUUUAAGUGGCCCAGUUGAUCUAUGAACGAAAUUUAAAUUAUAUGUUUCUAUGAUUUCCGGCCUCUGUGGAGUUCCUUAAAGGUAUUUGUUGCAUUUCAUUUUAUAUACUGUAGAUUAUAUUAUUGUAUGCGUUGAUCGAAAAUUAAAAUAUUUUAUUCAGACAAAAA